rnacentral:rRNA from 1 species
UGGGAAUAUUGGGGCAAUGGGGCGCAAGCCUGACCCAGCAACGCCGCGUGAAUGAUGAAGGUCUUCGGAUUGUAAAGUUCUGUGAUGGGGGACGAAGAAAGUGACGGUACCCCAAUAGCAAGCCUCGGCUAACUACGUGCCAGCAGCCGCGGUAAUACGUAGGAGGCAAGCGUUGUCCGGAAUGACUGGGCGUAAAGGGUGCGUAGCCGGCCUUUCAAGUUGGUAGCGUAAUUCCGGGGCUCAACCUCGGCGCUACUACCAAAACUGUUAGGCUUGAGUGCAGGAGAGGUAAGUGGAAUUCCUAGUGUAGCGGUGGAAUGCGUAGAUAUUAGGAGGAACACCAGUGGCGAAGGCGACUUACUGGACUGUAACUGACGGUGAGGCACGAAAGCGU